GCGAACCCGCACAGGCGGUCCUUUCACAGGUGCCUUGCUGCCCGGAAGGCCCCCAGCUUUCCCUUCUGCAAAAUGGGCAGCAAACGCCUACAAAGCACCGCGCAGCCUCGGGCUCAUCCUCAAAGGGCUGAGUAUCGCUAGCUGGAUUGGAGGGAGACCUCCCCGCCCCCAAUUCCGGCUUGGGUUCCCCGCCCAGCAUCUCCGGAGUCCAGCUGGGGACCCACCGUCCGAGCCAGCCAGAUCAGACCUCGCAAUGGGACCUCAGCGAACCUUUGUCCUAAGACUGGAGAUGGCAUGGACCGAACAAGGAGGUGAAAGAAAACUCAACUUCUGAAAACUCUUAUACCAUUUACAUGGUCUGGAGAGGUGGAUGAGCAACUAAGAGAACUGGCUGCUUUUCUGGAGGACAAGGGUUUGAUUUCAGCAUCUUCAGGGCCCACACAACCAUCUUUAACUCUAGUCCCAGGAAAUUUGAUGCCCUCUUCUGUCCUCUACAGUCACCGCACACAUGUGACACACAUACAUACAUGCAGCCCUACCAUCUGAACAGCUCCAGGUGAACCAUCACCCAUCAGAGAACACAGCGAGACCCACCUCCUGUCUCCAGCAGAACAAC
rnacentral:lncRNA from 1 species